rnacentral:rRNA from 1 species
UACGAAGGGGGCUAGCGUUGUUCGGAAUCACUGGGCGUAAAGCGCACGUAGGCGGCUUUUUAAGUCAGGGGUGAAAUCCCGAGGCUCAACCUCGGAACUGCCUUUGAUACUGGAGAUCUUGAGUCCGGAAGAGGUAAGUGGAACUGCGAGUGUAGAGGUGAAAUUCGUAGAUAUUCGCAAGAACACCAGUGGCGAAGGCGGCUUACUGGUCCGGAACUGACGCUGAGGUGCGAAAGCGUGGGGAGCAAACAGG